rnacentral:rRNA from 1 species
UACCGAACUGUGGGGGAUAGCCGGCCUAACGGCCGAGUAAUACCGCAUACGCUCUCAGAGAGGCAUUUCUUUGAGAGGAAACCUACGGGACAGAUCGAGGGGCUCGCGGCCUAUCAGCUAGUUGGCGAGGUAACGGCUCACCAAGGCAACGACGGGUAGCUGGUCUGAGAGGAUGGCCAGCCACAUUGGGACUGAGAUACGGCCCAGACUCCUACGGGAGGCAGCAGUGGGGAAUCUUGCGCAAUGGCCUAACGGCUGACGCAGCGACGCCGCGUGUGGGAUGAAGCUCUUCGGAGUGUAAACCACUGUUGCCCGGGACGAACAGCUCGAUUAAUCGAGCCUGACGGUACCGGGUGAGGAAGCAC